CCCUUAGAUGUCCUGGGCCGCACGCGCGCUACACUGAUGCAUUCAACGAGUUCUACCUUGGCCGAGAGGCCUGGGCAAUCUUUUGAACCUGCAUCGUGAUAGGGAUAGAUUAUUGCAAUUAUUAAUCUUGAACGAGGAAUUCCUAGUAAACGCAGAUCAUCAAUCUGCAUUGAUUACGUCCCUGCCCUUUGUACACACCGCCCGUCGCACCUACCGAUUGAACGGUUUAGUGAGGGCCUCGGAUUGGUCUCGGCCCGCUCUUUACCGGGCGGCGCCGUUGGUCGAGAAGACGCUCGAACUUGAUCGUUUAGAGGAAGUAAAAGUCGUAACA
rnacentral:rRNA from 1 species